rnacentral:lncRNA from 1 species
CAGUCCAUCACAGUGUUUAUAACCCCUCCCCUUGUAUUACAGCCCGGUGGAGCAUACGUUUCAGUCCAUCACAGUGUUUAUAUCCCCUCCCCUUGUAUUACAGCCCGGUGGAGCAUACGUUUCAGUCCAUCACAGUGUUUAUAUCCCCUCCCCUUGUAUUACAGCCCGGUGGAGCAUACGUUUCAGUCCAUCACAGUGUUUAUAUCCCCUCCCCUUGUAUUACAGCCCGGUGGAGCAUACGUUUCAGUCCAUCACAGUGUUUAUAUCCCCUCCCCUUGUAUUACAGCCCGGUGGAGCAUACGUUUCAGUCCAUCACAGUGUUUAUAUCCCCUCCCCUUGUAUUACAGCCCGGUGGAGCAUACGUUUCAGUCCAUCACAGUGUUUAUAUCCCCUCCCCUUGUAUUACAGCCCGGUGGAGCAUACGUUUCAGUCCAUCACAGUGUUUAUAUCCCCUCCCCUUGUAUUACAGCCCGGUGGAGCAUACGUUUCAGUCCAUCACAGUGUUUAUAUCCCCUCCCCUUGUAUUACAGCCCGGUGGAGCAUACGUUUCAGUCCAUCACAGUGUUUAUAUCCCCUCCCCUUGUAUUACAGCCCGGUGGAGCAUACGUUUCAGUCCAUCACAGUGUUUAUAUCCCCUCCCCUUGUAUUACAGCCCGGUGGAGCAUACGUUUCAGUCCAUCACAGUGUUUAUAUCCCCUCCCCUUGUAUUACAGCCCGGUGGAGCAAACGUUUCAGUCCAUCACAGUGUUUAUAACCCCUCCCCUUGUAUUACAGCCCGGUGGAGCAUACGUUUCAGUCCAUCACAGUGUUUAUAUCCCCUCCCCUUGUAUUACAGCCCGGUGGAGCAUACGUUUCAGUCCAUCACAGUGUUUAUAUCCCCUCCCCUUGUAUUACAGCCCGGUGGAGCAUACGUUUCAGUCCAUCACAGUGUUUAUAACCCCUCCCCUUGUAUUACAGCCCGGUGGAGCAUACGUUUCAGUCCAUCACAGUGUUUAUAUCCCCUCCCCUUGUAUUACAGCCCGGUGGAGCAUACGUUUCAGUCCAUCACAGUGUUUAUAUCCCCUCCCCUUGUAUUACAGCCCGGUGGAGCAUACGUUUCAGUCCAUCACAGUGUUUAUAACCCCUCCCCUUGUAUUACAGCCCGGUGGAGCAUACGUUUCAGUCCAUCACAGUGUUUAUAUCCCCUCCCCUUGUAUUACAGCCCGGUGGAGCAUACGUUUCAGUCCAUCACAG